AUAAAUUUAACAUUGAUGUUCUGGAAUGUUCUAUGAAAAUUCACCCCCGAAAAUUAUGCCAAGGAGACCCCCUACUGAAAUAAAAUAAAUGCCAUAUUGGAGCAGACAAGUGUCUCUAAAUAUUCAUAAUAGUAAUCAUAAUUCCAUCUACUCUACAUACAGAAAAAUAUUUAGGAAAUGUAAAAAAAAUGACCCCAACCAUUUUUGAGCCCCCUAAUUAUGCCAAGAUGACACCCUGGUAUCAUGGACAUUGGGUUCUGCAACCCCCAUGAUGCAGACCCGUACCCAGAAAAAAUAUGAAGUUUCCAUCCAUUACUGCUUCCCAAAAAUGGUAGGACAGUUUAAGGGGUUAGAAAGAGAAGAAUAAGAAUAAUAACUAGAAUUGCCAUUGCAAGCAAUAGCGGAUGUCACCCUUCCCCCUAUUGCCACUAAGCGGCAGCCAUUUCAAAACAACUUAACAGUGAAUGCAGAUCUAUGAAUUGCGAUAUAUCUUUCUGUAAAUUUUCAGUAAUACAAGAGCAUUGUCAAAAGUUUCACAUUUCUGCUGUUUCCAUGGCAACGGCAGCCAUUUUGAAAAUUUCAAAGUCAAAAGUCUCAUCUAUACAUGCCAGUUGACAAUAAUAUUAAGUUUCAUUAAGUUU
rnacentral:lncRNA from 1 species